UCCAGUGGUGGCGUAGUGGUUAGAGUGUCGGACUAGGACUUAGGAGACCAGGGUUCAAAUCCCCACUCAGCCAUGAAG